CACAAACACAGAAAGGAAAGAAAGGGAACAGGGGGAGCUCGAGGGAGAAAAGGGGGAGACGAGAGACUGAGAAACAGGGGAAGGGGGAGUAAGAGAGCACGAGAUGCAGAGGGAAGAGGGGAAGGGGGGAGUAGCGCCGGUGGGUGUCUCUGCUACCGUGGCUGCUGUUGCCGUCGAAUAGAAGAGGGAGGGAGGCUGUCGCACUUCUAGCUGCCGCUGAAGCUCCCCUCACCACUGUCAACGUUGGUUAGGGCAGAGGAGAAGAGGAAGAAUAACGGAGAAGUGAGACUGACGGGGAGGGUAAUACGGUUGUUGUUGAUUUGGAGCUGCUACAAGAACGGCGUUUCCUGCUUCUAAUCUCUGUCCUUUUGAUUUUUGGAGCUGCCGUGGAUGGAGCUUGUAAUCAGAGAAAGCAAGCUGCCGCCACCAACUCUUAAUUCAGCCAGUGUCUUCCUCCUUGUUCUAAUUUCAAUUUUCCUAUUUCUGAAACCCCCCUUUCUGGCACCUAUUUCCUGUUACAAUUAGGUCGAGUAUUGAAGCUGGUGCUGCCAUGGGACGAUUGAAGUUGUUACUGAUUCUGAUUUUGCUAUCUGGUUCUUGCUUUGUCUUGAAUUCUUAGAGCUGAAAUUGCUUUGGAUUCCUAUCCAAUUUGAAUCCUCUAUCUUACUGUAACCAUGGUCAGUGCUGCGAAGGCUAAUAUUGUUGCUGUUCCGGUUGCGUGAGAGUUACCGCUGCUGCCUUGAAACUAAAAGAGAAGAGAGUUGUUACGUUAAAGUAUGCGAUUGCGACAUCGAGUGACACAGGUUUGAAGACGCAACUUGAAGCUGCGAGCGAUUAGUAGGUUUUCUUUAUGGUUUAAUUUGGUCUGGUAGAGUCCCCUCGCCGAUUGUCCCUUGAGAUUUUAUUUCAUAUAGAGGGGUAGGUUUAGUAUAUUGUAUUUGAGUUUUAUUUGGUUUCUUUUGUAUAAGUAUUAUUAUCAAUAAUAUUUAUGUGAUUAUUAUUAUUUGUAAAUGUUUGAAUUAUGACUUUAAUGAAUAAAAAAACAAAAUUUUCUGGAAUUUUCUUAAAACUAAAAUGCGAACUCGAUACAGAGGCUCGAUAAUUAAGUAGUUAAUACUAGAGAAGGUUACGUAAUGUUCUUUCUAGUAGAAAUACCCUGACUUAAGCAAGGUAUUUUGCUGGAAGGGAUGUUACACUCUAUCAAUCACAGGAACAUGAGCUAGGGUAGAAGUAUCUACCCAAGUUAAAAGAGAAGAGGGGACUUUUGUUGACAUAUCGUGAAUAACAUAUCGAGACAUAAAGUUAUACCUACAAAUACAACACACAAAGAAGCCAUCACGAAACGAACUCAGACACCAAGCAAAGGAAGUUGACAGAAUAGCAAUUUCAAAAGAAUGUGUUCACAAUCAAAUUCAACAGUUAAAAAAUGAUGUCACUUUCGAGCAAGCAAACGCAACACCAUUUGGGGACAACAUAAUCAAAGUCUAUAGCAACAAUCUCAAACAAUAGACAAGUUAAAAAAAUGUUUUCAAGAACAAACAAGUAGUGGCAGUUAAAGGAAAAAAUAAAACUCCCAUCAUCAACAAAUAUUUCCAAACAUCAUUUAAAGUAUCAUU